AUAAUGGGUCAGCGACUUAUAUUCUGUAGCAAGGUUAACCGAAUAGGGGAGCCGAAGGGAAACCGAGUCUUAACUGGGCGUUAAGUUGCAGGGUAUAGACCCGAAACCCGGUGAUCUAGCCAUGGGCAGGUUGAAGGUUGGGUAACACUAACUGGAGGACCGAACCGACUAAUGUUGAAAAAUUAGCGGAUGACUUGUGGCUGGGGGUGAAAGGCCAAUCAAACCGGGAGAUAGCUGGUUCUCCCCGAAAGCUAUUUAGGUAGCGCCUCGUGAAUUCAUCUCCGGGGGUAGAGCACUGUUUCGGCAAGGGGGUCAUCCCGACUUACCAACCCGAUGCAAACUGCGAAUACCGGAGAAUGUUAUCACGGGAGACACACGGCGGGUGCUAACGUCCGUCGUGAAGAGGGAAACAACCCAGACCGCCAGCUAAGGUCCCAAAGUCAUGGUUAAGUGGGAAACGAUGUGGGAAGGCCCAGACAGCCAGGAUGUUGGCUUAGAAGCAGCCAUCAUUUAAAGAAAGCGUAAUAGCUCACUGGUCGAGUCGGCCUGCGCGGAAGAUGUAACGGGGCUAAACCAUGCACCGAAGCUGCGGCAGCGACGCUUAUGUGUUGUUGGGUAGGGGAGCGUUCUGU
rnacentral:rRNA from 1 species